GUUGAACGCUGGCGGCAUGCCUUACACAUGCAAGUCGAACGGCAGCAUAGGAGCUUGCUCCUGAUGGCGAGUGGCGAACGGGUGAGUAAUAUAUCGGAACGUGCCCUAGAGUGGGGGAUAACUAGUCGAAAGAUUAGCUAAUACCGCAUACGAUCUACGGAUGAAAGUGGGGGAUCGCAAGACCUCAUGCUCCUGGAGCGGCCGAUAUCUGAUUAGCUAGUUGGUGGGGUAAAAGCCUACCAAGGCGACGAUCAGUAGCUGGUAGGAGAGGACGACCAGCCACACUGGGACUGAGACACGGCCCAGUCUCCUACGGGAGUCAGCAGUGGGGAAUUUUGGACAAUGGGGGCAACCCUGAUCCAGCAAUGCCGCGUGAGUGAAGAAGGCCUUCGGGUUGUAAAGCUCUUUUGUCAGGGAAGAAACGGUUCUGGAUAAUACCCAGAGCUAAUGGCGGUACCUGAAGAAUAAGCACCGGCUAACUACGUGCCAGCCGCCGCCGUAACAC
rnacentral:rRNA from 1 species